CUGCCCAGUGACUCUGUUCAACGGCCGCGGUAUCCUAACCGUGCGAAGGUAGCGUAAUCACUUGUUCUUUAAAUGAGGACUAGUAUGAAUGGCAUCACGAAGGUUAUACUGUCUCCUCUUUCCAAUCAGUGAAACUAAUCUCCCCGUGAAGAAGCGGGGAUAACUCUAUAAGACGAGAAGACCCUAUGGAGCUUUAAACUAAGAAUCAACUGACUUUUCCACUUUUAAAUUCCAGAAAACUAACUUUUACCAAGACACUCUGAUUUCUAGUUUUAGGUUGGGGUGACCACGGAGUAAAAACUAACCUCCGCAAUGAACAGGGAUCUUCCCUUAACCAAGGACCACAACCCUAAGAAUCAACACAUUGACAUCAAUUGACCCAAAAAAAUUUGAUCAAUGAACCAAGUUACCCUAGGGAUAACAGCGCAAUCCACUUUAAGAGCCCCUAUCGACAA
rnacentral:rRNA from 1 species